rnacentral:lncRNA from 1 species
UCCACGCCUCCCUCCGUCUGGACGUAUCCAUGGCGAGCGGGGCGAGCGGGUUGCGUAGGCCGAGCCUUGUCCCCAGUGACCACUGGGGAGCCGUGUGGCCGCACCUGCCUCUCGGCGCUUGGUGGGAAGAACAGAGCCAGUCCCAUACAAGGAGGACGUGUUGACCGAGGGGACAAAGGUGGAAUCGUUCCCCCAGGCCGGCUCGUGGUGUUAUCAGCUGGAGAACGCCGUCUCGCUUGAACAGAGCCCGCCACGGCCUCACAUAAUGAAGUGCAAACAGGAUUUUGAAAAAAGGGUGCACAGCCCACAAUUUUGUAAGGAGCUCUGGUUGGACUUCCUGCCUACACUGAGUUUAAUCGGUGGGCCGUCCACGUCAGGCAUUUUCACGCAAUGUCUACCCUUCGGCAAGGUUCCCACAGGGCACAGAAAGUGGAAAGAACCUCUUCCCAUCUGCUGGGUGGCCACACAUUAGGCACGGUGCUAACACCCAGCGAGAACCCGCAUUUCACGUUCUUCUGCAGUGCUUUCUACGGUCAAAGCCUUCUCCUGCCUCCGAUCUUCUUGUCAUGUUCUGAGUCCUCCCUGAAGAAUGUGAAGUCGUAGGACGCCUGUCUGCUGGCUUUCAUUGGUGCUUGAUGCAUAGAAACUGUUUCUCUACCCGUCAGGUGUGUGUGGGGUCCCAGACCACCCCGGCGAGACCCGCGGUAAUGAGGACUGGUUUCUGCUCUGCCUUCGACAGGUAAGUCAGCAGGAAGCGCCGGUGUGCUGGGUGCUCACAAGGACCGCUCUCAACUCCAGGUGCCACUUGCUGUGUGACAGGGUCACAGCGCGCCCGGAGAAGCUUCUGCUGAGAGUUCACCUGCAGAGCUUCGCACUUGUGAUGCUAAUAUAUUUUUGAGAGUGAACACAUCAAGUUGUCAAUCAAUCCAGCCUACAGAUCGUGGCAUUUCAGCUCCCUGACUUAUUAAGUGUGUGACCUUCUGCAGCGAGCUCAGCUCCUGGGAGCCCCACGACCCUUCUCCAUGUGAAGAGUGGGUGAUCACGGGUGAGCCUCGGAGCCCGUCUGUUCUGAGGCACUGGGACCCGGAAAGCAUUCGGCAAAUAAGAACCGUGAGUGCCGUUCUUUUUUAUAGCACAAUUCUAGUAACGGGAGUCAGAUAUCCGCAUGGGGUGUGGUUGAGUUAAAUCCAAUGGCCCU